rnacentral:rRNA from 1 species
UACAUAGGUCUCAAGCGUUGUUCGGAUUCAUUGGGCGUAAAGGGUGCGUAGGCGGCGCGGUAAGUCGGGUGUGAAAUCUCGGGGCUUAACUCCGAAACUGCAUUCGAUACUACCGUGCUUGAGGACUGGAGAGGAGACUGGAAUUUACGGUGUAGCGGUGAAAUGCGUAGAUAUCGUAAGGAAGACCAGUGGCGAAGGCGGGUCUCUGGACAGUUCCUGACGCUGAGGCACGAAGGCCAGGGGAGCAAACGGG